rnacentral:lncRNA from 1 species
GUUAGAUGCCCCAUUGGCUGCUUGUUGGCUAGAGGUCGAGCUUGAAGGUGUAGAAGAGGAGGCAUAUGAUUCCCUUCCCCAUUUCUUUUGAACCCCAUCAAGACAAAGUUUGGCACCAAAUUUACCAGAAACUGCAUUGCCUGAUGGCUGGGACCUUGUCUGAUGAUGGUCUUCCCUAUAGUGACUUGGUUCUGGAACUGGAACAAGGUCAGUAGUUGGCAGGGAAACACUACUUUGUGAGGUUGCUGUAGGUAGUGAAGGUUUAGGUAGCUCAUAGGCUUCAAAUCUAAGAGCAUGAGCAGAUGUCUCAUGUUGGUCUUGGGCUUUGUAGUUCUGAAAAUGAAAUAAAAAAUUCUGCAAAUGGUUUGUUUCCCCCAUGACACUAGCGUUCUCAGGGCCCUCAACCCCAAGUACAGGCAUGGCUCUCUCUGGGGCGUCAUGCUUUGCACCACACGUAUGUUGUUCAACUUCAGUCUAUGAGAUGCCUAUCUUUCUUUGUACUCGUGAUCAAAUUCACUAUCUGCUACGUACGUACAUGCACAGAGGCCAUGUUUGUUGACCUUGGCCAUUUCAACAUCAAUGACAUUCAGGUUCGUCGGCCACUAUCAGUUUUUAACAACAUUCAUAUUCAUUUGUAGCACAUUGGUUCAGAGCGGAGACUGGUUUUAAUUUUCUUCAUUUUUCGACCUGUUGCAAUACCCCUUCGUUAGCCAGGCAUCCUACCUGCAUGAAUUUCGGCAAGACGUCGGGGACACCUUCUACAAAUCUAUCCGAGGUAGGCAGCAGGCACCACUGUUUUUUCACUUAUAGUUUAAGAAAAAGUGCUAGCAAAUCUCUGAAUGUUGUUUAUGCUCCGCUGGCAGCAGAGGAAUAGACCCGACAAGGAAGGGAACGACGUCAGCGCAGUCAAUGGAAUUAAGAGGGAAAGUAAACUUUGAAGCACUUGGUUGAACCAAGAGGUGAUUCCCUGUUUUUGGUGUACCAUGCAGUAGUUGAUGCAGAGUGUUUGUGCUUACAAAUAGCAACAUGAAUUUUGGUGGUAAUAGUUUCUGAACUGUAGUGUCGUAAAAAUUAUGUGGCUUAUUUUUGUAGCAUUUAUGAUGGACCAAUUUUUCCUGUAAAUUAAACCAUAUUAUGAGAAUGGGGUGGAAUGCAUACAUACAUCAAUAAAAAUCCUUGAUCCAUUUUGUUGGCCGAUCUAUUUGUUUUUCCUUGAGGGUAAAAAAUUGGAUCUCUAUUCUUCUUGGCUUUCUUGCAUGAGUUUUCUUAAUAAAUUAUUAAUUUGUAAUAUUAAUGACAGAUUGGUGCAAUUUCACUAAAUUUAAUUGUUUUAUUUUGGGCUGUAAAUUGUCAUCUUUUGUUGUUCACCCGUUGCAACGCACAUGCCUUUUUUGCUAUCAACAAUAACCCACCAUCAUCGGUCCGAAUUUUGGUCCGUUCUUCGCCUUCCACCUGGGCAUGUAUGUUCAGCGUCAGCGGGCUUUUCGGUCCACCUUCCAUCUAGGCUAGGCUUUUUACAAUAAUAAAAAAAAUGGGCUUCUCGGUCCACCUUCCAUCUGGGCUAGGCUUUUUACAAUAAUAAAAAAAUGGCUGCACGAGGGAUAGAACUAAGGGAAAGAGGGACAACGCCAGCCCUGCUACCCUACGCGAGAUAGUGUCGUUCGUCUUGAUAUUAUAGAUGGUCCCACCUUGCGUUUUUACAUCAAAUCAAAUCCUACCAAUUUAUAUAGGUUCGCGAGUAGCCUAGAAUAACGACAAGCCCCGUCAAUGUGUGGAUGAACUGACAUGCUCUAAUUAGAGAGAAAGAUGGUUGGCUAAGACCCAAUAAUUAAAUGAGUAUUGUUGGGUUCUUUCUUGGCAAAUCAAAUAGGGCUACCAAUCAAAGGAGAUGCACGGAGACGCCGAUGGCUAGGGACCACUUGCCGUUCGAAGGUAUCCUCCUCAGACUCGGCAUAUUUUGACCCGACGGCAAUGAGGCGUUGGAAGUUAUCCUCCUAAUAUGACCCGACGACAAUGAUGCGUUGGAAGUUAUCCUCCUAAUAUGACCCGACGGCAAUGAGGCGUUAGAAGUUAUCCUCCUAAUAUGACCCGACGGCAAUGAGGCGUUGGAAGUUAUCCUCCUCAGACUCGGCGGGGACGAGGACGAAGGCCAGGGCGUCGUGGUACAACAUUGUCCCAUACCUUUACUCAUUCAACACACUGAUCCGUGGGCAGGUGCUCUGGAGCGUGCAUGUUUCGAUGGUACGUCCUUCAGGGCAGCUAUAAAGAAACUUGUGGAUUACAAGUGUGCAUGUAUUUAACCCUAUCAUCCGUGGGCAUACAAAGGUGCACGGAGGCUGCACAACGGAUUCCUGCCAGCAUGACACGCCACGGUAUGUCUCAAUCAUAUAAUCUGGUUGUUGAUUGCUUCCUGAAAACAACAUUGAACAACAUUAUGGAAUAGCACCAAUGACAAUCCAUUCAUCAAGAAUAUGUUCAACAAGGGAGUCACACAUAAAAUGGCUAAUAUAUUAAAAUAGAUAUUCUUAGUUUGUCAUUAAUUUUUAUUGAAAAACGUCACGUGUCGUUCUUUGCAUGAUAUCGCCUCGCUCUCCCGGUUUCGGACAAGAACUAUGUUUCCAUAUGUGAUGGAUUUGUGGCUACCUUUUUAGGUGAUUUCGGUGCACCGUUCACUCAUCGAGACUAACACAUGCAAUGGGCACAACCGGGGCAAUGUGACAGGUGGGAGUUAUGGCCUCAAGAAGACAAAGGAGAGCUUUAAUUGAAUGGUUUACUAAUUAAUUUUAAAGUUGUUUGUUCAAAAUCAAUAAUAAAAUAUGGAGUGUCUUGUCGAUCAUACGAAUGUGUUUUGCACAUACGAGUUUCAAAUAAUUUUACUUUCCCGUUGCAAUGCACGGGCAUUUAUACUAGUAUAAUGCUAAAACAUAUUGGACCUAUCUUGGGUUUACCCUGCCAUUUGUGGGCCCGAUAAUGCAAAGUUGGUCGAUGUGUUGAUAAUGCCUUUCUUCUAAACAAAUCUUGGGUUUGCUCUCGAAAAUAUGUUUGAUGAGUUAGAUCAUGUUGAUUUUAUUCAGUACAAUCUUUUUUUUUUCACGAAUGUUAGAGCAUCUCUAGCAGAUACUGCAAAAACGCGAAAACUGCAAAGUUUCGGCUAGUUUGCGGACCGGGCCCAGUUUGCUGCGCAGAGCAGACUCCGCAUCUGCAGCCCGGCCCGCAAACGUUUUGCGCGAAUCCGCAAAUGUACGCGGGGUAGGCAUAAAAGCCGUUUGGGCUCCCAUUUGCGGGGCCAAACCCUCAUCUCCGUCGUCGAAUUCGUCGCCGCCGUUCCUCUCCCUUCACUAGCUCCAGCCGCUCGAUUCGCUCGCCAUGGACGCCCUUCCUCCGCAUCUGCAGCAGGAGCGGCGUAGGUGUGUCGCCACCGACGCCGCGCGAAAGCGGUCGUCGCAUAAGUGGACGGGGAGGGGGCUCCCGGUGCCGGCGUCGCUGCUGCGGCGGGAGACCGAGGAGUUCGACAUCCGCCAUGGUCUCGUGCCGGCCCCCGCGCCUCCCGAUUCGCCACCGCCGGAGUUCGAGGAGGGGAUCUCCUCCGGCAGCUUGACCCUCUCCGGCGACGGCGACGGCGCGGCCGCAUCCUACGAGCUCCGGUGAGCUAAUUUUGGUCUGUUUAGGGUUAGGGCCACGUCUUCAAGUGCAUUUUGGCCGCGAUGUAAAUCUUAACGAACAACGGAUGAACUAGUAUUGGAUGAACUAAUCUCCCGCGUAGUUUGAAUGUUUAAAUUUGCAGUUCUGUUUGCGGUGUCUGUUCUGCGCGACACGUUUCUGAAACUGCCACCCAGUUUGCACCGGACUGCAAACGUUCAGAACUGCUAGAGAUGCUCUUAUUUGGUACUACAACCUGUUGAAACGCAGGGCAGGUGCUUAGAAUCAGAAGUGAAGUGAGAUUGACAAACAUUUUAAAUACUGUGCAUGAUUAAAUGCAACCAGUAAUCGAGGUAUAUAUAUUCCAUAAAGCGUUGUAUCUGAAGAUACAUGGUUUUCCUAGAUAAUGUGGUGAAGAUACAUAUCCUGCAUAUAUGGAUGAUACGGAGCAUCCAAUAUAGUGAACAUUUAUUCUUAUUCAACACUACAGUACAGGCAUACAAUUGUCUGUACUCUGUAGUGUCUAGUCUCUACUCCCCUUAAGAACUUUCCGGCCUAAACCUUCUUCCGCCCGAUCCACCUUCCCUUUGACAGUCGAAGUAUGUCGCGGCCACAGUGUUGAGGUGGUACUGACAUGCGAAGUUCCUGGAGCUGAAGUUGUGCCGCAUGUGCGGCGCAAAAACCGUCCCUCUACCUAGUUGUUGGAACAGCACAAAUACCAUUCGGUGGAUGCCAGAUCUUGGCUCCGGCCUUUCAUAAACUAGAAGCUCUUGGCCU